ACAGACUGGCUGGGAUGUACACUGGGGAGGUAACAGACUGGCUGGGAUGUACGCUGGGGAGGUAACAGACUGGCUGGGCUGUACACUGGGGAGGUAACAGACUGGCUGGGAUGUACGCUGGGGAGGUAACAGACUGGCUGGGAUGUACACUGGGGAGGUAACAGACUGGCUGGGAUGUACACUGGGGAGGUAACAGACUGGCUGGGAUGUACACUGGGGAGGUAACAGACUGGCUGGGAUGUACACUGGGGAGGUAACAGACUGGCUGGGAUGUACACUGGGGAGGUAACAGACUGGCUGGGAUGUACACUGGGGAGGUAACAGACUGGCUGGGAUGUACACUGGGGAGGUAACAGACUGGCUGGGAUGUACGCUGGGGAGGUAACAGACUGGCUGGGAUGUACACUGGGGAGGUAACAGACUGGCUGGGAUGUACGCUGGGGAGGUAACAGACUGGCUGGGAUGUACACUGGGGAGGUAACAGACUGGCUGGGAUGUACACUGGGGAGGUAACAGACUGGCUGGGAUGUACACUGGGGAGGUAACAGACUGGCUGGGAUGUACACUGGGGAGGUAACAGACUGGCUGGGAUGUACACU